CACGGAGUUAGCCGAUGCUUUUUCUUCGGAUACACGCAGUCCGGGACACGUCCCGGGUUUUGUUCUCCGACAAAAGAGGCUUACAACCCAUAGGGCCGUCUUCCCUCACGCGGCUUGGCUGGUUCAGGAUCUCUCCCAUUGACCAAUAUUCCUCACUGCUGCCUCCCGUAGGAGUCUGGUCCGUGUCUCAGUACCAGUGUGGGGGACCUUCCUCUCAGAACCCCUACGCAUCGUCGCCACGGUGGGCCGUUACCCCGCCGUCAAGCUAAUGCGCCGCAUGCCCAUCCUCUUCCGAUGAAUCUUUCCUCGAUCUCGGAUGCCCGAAACCGAUAUACGCGGGAUUAGCCUCCCUUUCGGAAGGUUGUCCCCCUGAAGAGGGCAGGUUGCAUACGUGUUACUCACCCGUGCGCCGGUCGCCGGCAAGGAAAGCAAGCUUCCCUCCCGAUGCCCCUCGACUUGCAUGUGUUAAGCCUGCCGCUAGCGUUCAUCCUGAGCCAGGAUCAAACUCU
rnacentral:rRNA from 1 species